AGUGAACGCUGGCGGUAGGCCUAACACAUGCAAGUCGAACGGCAGCACAGGAGAGCUUGCUCUCUGGGUGGCGAGUGGCGGACGGGUGAGGAAUACAUCGGAAUCUACUUUUUCGUGGGGGAUAACGUAGGGAAACUUACGCUAAUACCGCAUACGACCUACGGGUGAAAGCAGGGGAUCUUCGGACCUUGCCCGAUUGAAUGAGCCGAUGUCGGUUUAGCUAGUUGGCGGGGUAAAGGCCCACCAAGGCGACGAUCCGUAGCUAGUCUGAGAGGAUGAUCAGCCACACUGGAACUGAGACACGGUCCAGACUCCUACGGGAGGCAGCAGUGGGGAAUAUUGGACAACGGGCGCAAGCCUGAUCCAGCCAUACCGCGUGGGUGAAGAAGGCCUUCGGGUUGUAAAGCCCUUUUGUUGGGAAAGAAAUCCAUCUGGUUAAUACCCGGGUGGGAUGACGGUACCCAAAGAAUAAGCACCGGCUAACUUCGUGCCAGCCGCCGCAGUAA
rnacentral:rRNA from 1 species